GCAUCCUCUCAGGGUUCCUCACCCUGGGGGCCCAGUGGCAGGUUACAGAAGGGAAAGGUCCUCAUCACUCCUUGCGGAGUCGAGGGUUGCGUGGUCUGGGAAGGCCGGGGGCGAGGACUGUGUCUUCCUGACCACCUGGAGUGUGGAAACAGAGCUGAGGAUGCCGGUGGGUUCUGCUCAGGGACUGGGGCCCACAUGUGGGAGAUGGUCUCACAGACCCAAGAUCUUGAGAGCAGACCCUGCUCCCCAAGCCCACUCUGCAUGUGGGGUGUCCCCAGGGUCCCAUGGAGCUCUGGAGUCAUGGAGUCACCUUGCCUUGAUUAGUUCUUUGUGCUGUUUGAGUUUACUUAAAGGGUGUAGGGCAGGAGGAGGCAGUGACUGUGGGGGUUUGAGAGGCAUCCAUCCACCCAUCCAUCAUCCAUCCACCCAUCCAUCAUCCAUCCACCCAUCCAUCAUCCAUCCACCCAUCCAUCAUCCAUCCAUCCAUCCAUUAUCCAUUCACCCAUCCAUUAUCUACCCAUCAUCUGUCACCCAUCCAUUCAUCUGUCUAAACAGGUAUUUCCUCCCCCCUCACUUGCCCUUGUCAAACCAUCAAUCUUCCUGGGGCCAUGCUGGGUGUCUUGGGAAGACUGUGCUCACCUCAGGCUUUGUGUUGUGUGGUUUCUGUGAGUGGUUUGUAAGUGUGUUGUGUGUGUGUGGUGUGUUGUGUAUGCAUGUUCAUGGGCAGAGGCCUCCAGGAGCUCCCACACAUGGGCAGGGAUAUUUGCCCUCCCUUCACACUGUCCUGCCACUCCCCUCUCUCACUCAGCCCCUGCUCCCUGUAGGAGCUGGAUUUCUCCUCC
rnacentral:lncRNA from 1 species